CCUACGGGCGGCAGCAGUAAGGAAUAUUGCUCAAUGGCGGAAACGCUGAAGCAGCAACGCCGCGUGAGGGAUGACGGUUUUAGGAUUGUUAACUCCUUUUUUUAGAGGAGAUUAUGACUGUAUCUGACGAAUAAUCACCGGCUAACUCCGUGCCAGCAGCCGCGGUAAUACGGAGGGUGCAAGCGUUACUCGGAAUCACUGGGCGUAAAGCGUGCGUAGGCGGGUUAAUAAGUCAGAUGUGAAAUCCUGUAGCUUAACUACAGAACUGCAUCUGAAACUGUUACUCUGGAGUGUGGGAGAGGUAGGUGGAAUUCUUGGUGUAGGGGUAAAAUCCGUAGAGAUCAAGAGGAAUACUCAUUGCGAAGGCGACCUGCUGGAACAUUACUGACGCUGAUGCACGAAAGCGUGGGGAGCAAACAGGAUUAGAUACCCUAGUAGUC
rnacentral:rRNA from 1 species